UCUCCCAUCCCAUCCUUUCUCCCAUCCCAUCCUUUCUCCCAUCCCAUCCUUUCUCCCAUCCCUUCCUUCUCCCAUCCCUUCCUUCUCCCAUCCCUUCCUUCUCCCAUCCCUUCUCCCAUCCCUUUGCAGCUGGAGGCCAACCCGCCCUGCAUCCCUCCAUCCCCGACCCUCUGCCCCAGUGCUCCCAGCAGCCCCGCGCGCAGACCCUCACCUCCGGGACGGCACCCACAGGAAGAACAUCAACAGGAGUUUGGGGUCCCUGGGACGACUCUUUGCACCCUGACCCCCCCUGGGGUGCUGCAGGUAUUUGGGGGCAGCCCCCCACCCCCCCCUUUCCUUCCUGGGCUCAUAGCCCAGCGGGUGCGGAUGCCGCAAGGAGCCCGCCGUGCCGUGCCGUGCCGUGCCGUGCCGUGCCGCGCCAAUAAAGCUCUUUUCGCUGCGGG